GUCUCUAGCAAUUACCUUCAUGGUUUUCUGCCAGAGGCUAUUUUUUUCCAAGGGAAAACUUCCCAUUUGUUUUUUGUAUUUUUAAAGUGUGUGUGUGCGUGUUUGCUCUUUGUGCUAAGGGUACAUGUUCAGCAGAAGGAAUUGGCAGGAGCACACGCUCCCUCUCUCUCUCACUUUGCAUGCUUGACCCUGAGACCUUGUGUUCUCCUGAAGCCUCUGCCACGCAAUCUCUUCCAUCUUCUUCCUGUCUGAUGAUUUCCCCUGGACUCUCCCAUGGGCAUUUUUAUGUCAAUAGAUUGGAAUGUUUCUCUCCUCACUGGGAAAAGCUCCUUUGGUCUCAGUGAACUCAGAGGUGGAGAAAGUCAUAAGAAUCAGGGAGCCUGCCCCAAAUUGCCUCCUAUGAUAACUUUCCACAAAGACUGGAGGGGAGGCUUCAAACAUCUUCCUGCAGUGUCCAGCAAGACAGCGAGGCAGACUCCCUUUCUCCUGCCAAAGCCACGUGGAGCCAGACAGAACCACAAGCAUACCUGUGGUGCUUGGAGGCCCAAGUAGAAACUUGAAUGCUCACGGCUGCAUUGGCAGCUUCUACUUGCCUGCCUGGAUCACCGUUCCUCAUGAGAACUUGGAAAAGCAGGACUAUCAUUCUUGCUUGACAGACGAAGAAACCAAGCCUCAGGACUGCGUGCAAUUCUACUUGGAGAUCUUCAUAACACCUUAAGGGAAAAAUCCUUUUUGAAAGAAAAACAAGUCUGGGUGGUGCUUGAAAAUUCAGAAGGCAGCUAGAAACUCUGCCAAUUACAACUUGGUGCUUCGUGAACCCUGGAUGCUACAGUCUCUGGCCACAGCACUAAAUGUAUGCUGAGAUCUGGCUUCACGGUCGAGGGUGUUGCUGGUUUUCAAUGUGCCUGACAUAGGAUCAAUGGUGAAUGCACCAGAAGCCUCAUCAGUCAGAAAAUACUCAGUUUGCCCAUUCAGGCCUUCAUCCUUGUCCACAGCUGAAAGCACAAGAACCACUGUUCCCACUUCAGCAUCUUCUCUCACAGAGGACUGGUAAUAAAGUGUGGGAAAAGAAGGACUGUGGUCAUUGGCAUCCAAAACUCUAACUUGCAGGUGUAUUACAGAGCUCCUAGGUGGAUCUCCCAGGUCAGAGCACAGAAUGACAAGGGUAAAAUUGCUGAUUUGCUCCCGGUCCAAAGCACGAGUGGUUGAGAGUUCUCCUGACAUCUCAUUUAUAGUAAAGCACUCAUCAGUAUUUCCAUCUAUUAAAGAAAACAAUUACAAAUUCAUUUGAAUUGAAAAAGUAGCAGCUCUUUGCUAGCACUAUCUAUGGUAUUCAUUUAUACAUUCAUUAAAAAUAUAUUUAUUCCCGAUUAUAUUGUAUCCUAGCACUUUUGUAAAUAUUGGGGAUAUAACAGUAAGCAUGAUAAAGGCUCUGCCCUCAUGAAACUUCUAUUGAGGGGAUAAACAGAAUAAUAUGAUUCAAUGCCUAUCUUUAAUCAGUCAAUAAUUAGAACACUUGCUUUCACUAAUUUGCAGCCGUAUGAUUUUUUGUGUGCAUCUACAACUUUUAAUUUUAAUAUAUUUUUCCUCAUAAGAGGAUGAAGAUAUAUGUUUUAUUUAACACAAAACAAUAGAUGAGGAUAAAAAAAACAGAAUAUAAUGUCCUUUUUUAAGAUAUCAAUCAGAAAUGAACAGAUUUGAUUUGUAGUUAUUUUCUCAAAUAGUACCCACUACAGUAUUCAUGCCUGUUAUACUAUUGCAGUAAGCCUUCUCUUCUACAUGUCCACAGCAUUUUGUACAAGAAUCAUAACACUUUGGUUAGAGUUAGUUGGACACUUGACUAUUUCUUCCAAAACAUAAAUAAGGACAUUGUUCUAUUCAUCUAUUCCUUAAAAAAAAUCUGCCCUUUAUUAUAUUCCAUCGUAUCAAGUAGAAUAAAACUUAAAAUUGAACACAGGGACAAAAAGCUUUCAAAGACAUUUUUAAAUAACCCUGAAAAUUAGUGAAGAAAAAUGUGGUUCAUAUGCUUGCCAGCCAUAUUCUUGGAUGAAGAGCAGGCCCAAUAGUGUGGGAACUUACUAGAGUCUGCAUAUCAGAGGCAUAUGAGGACCAAGUGGAAUGGCAUUCAAAGGAAACAACAGCAAUAGGUAGCUUUAGGGAGGAGGAGAGGGCCCUGCAUUUGUAUUCAUGAGGAACAGUUAAUUUACACCAAAAGUAGAGAUGAUUGGACAAACCCACAUUUCUGUAGUAUUUGUGGCUGAUAAAGUGAUUCAGUCAUUCAGCAAACAUUUGAUGAGCAUCUACUAUGUGCCAAGUUUGUGCUCAAGAUCACAGAUAUGAAGGGAGUAAGACAUGACCUAGCUCCAAGAGUUCACAGUCUAAAAGGAAAGGCUGGUCAAUACUCGGGUAUUAAAGUACCAUGUGAAAAUCAUAUGUACAGAGUGCUAAAUGAGUACAUAUAGAUAGUGCUAGCCAAGGGGUGCUAUUUCUCUGAGAAGUACAGAGAAAGGGCACAUAGUCCUAUGUUAGUAAGUUCAAGAAAUGCUUAUUGGAAAAAGUGACAUCAAAUCUCACUCCUAAAGUGGAGAAAGCCAUACUACAAGUUUUGGGGAGAGUGUUCUAUGCAGAGGAAAGAGCCCGUGGGAAGUUCUAGGAAUAUAAGAAUUAACAGGCUGCAAAUGUUUGGGUGUGACUAGUACACAGGGUUCCUGGGUGUUUGUAUGUGGCAAGUAGGAAAAGGGCUGGCAGUAGCGGUAGAGGAAAGACAUGAAUUUGGGAGGUAAGCAGGGGGUCAAAUUGUGAAGGGCUCUCUGUAUACUGCUGAAGAUUCUAUAGUUUCUCCUGAAAUCCAUGAGGGAGCCCCCUGAAGGAUUUUGGACAGGAAAGUGUCAUGAAUCAAAUUUCUAUUUUAAGAAUAGUAUCGAGGCAGCAAUGUCAAAGUUUGUUUAGAAAAUAGGAUGGUUCCUGUAAUCCCAGAACUUUUGGAGACCAAGGCGGGAGGAUUGCUUGAGUCCAGGAAUUUGAGUCCAGCCUGGGCAACAUAGUGAGAC
rnacentral:lncRNA from 1 species